rnacentral:rRNA from 1 species
UACGUAGGGUGCAAGCGUUAAUCGGAAUUACUGGGCGUAAAGCGUGCGCAGGCGGUUCGUUGUGUCGGCGGUGAAAGCCCCGGGCUUAACCUGGGAAUGGCCGUUGAAACUGGCGAACUGGAGUGUGGCAGAGGGGGGUGGAAUUCCGCGUGUAGCAGUGAAAUGCGUAGAGAUGCGGAGGAACACCGAUGGCGAAGGCAGCCCCCUGGGCUAACACUGACGCUCAGGCACGAAAGCGUGGGGAGCAAAAGGG